rnacentral:tRNA from 1 species
GUGUGUGUAAUUUAAAAAAAAUAUCAAGCCGUGACCUUGACAACAGGAUUACCCUCAUACACC